rnacentral:rRNA from 1 species
AUACGGAGGAUCCGAGCGUUAUCCGGAUUUAUUGGGUUUAAAGGGAGCGUAGGCGGGAGAUCAAGUCAGCUGUGAAAUGUAGAUGCUCAACAUCUGCACUGCAGUUGAAACUGGUUUUCUUGAGUGCGUAAGGGGCAGGCGGAAUUCGUCGUGUAGCGGUGAAAUGCUUAGAUAUGACGAAGAACUCCGAUCGCGAAGGCAGCCGGCGGGGCCGCGACUGACGCUGAAGCUCGAAGGUGCGGGUAUCGAACAGGAUUAGAUACCCUGGUAGUCCGCACAGUAAACGAUGGAUACUCGCUGUCGGCGAUAUACGGUCGGUGGCCAAGCGAAAGCGUUAAGUAUCCCACCUGGGGAGUACGCCGGCAACGGUGAAACUCAAAUGAAUUGACGGGG